GGACUUCUUCUGUCAAAAACACCUCUUGUCCUAAGCUACUAACGUUAGCUGGCUAACAGUACUGUGUGGAUAUAAAAAAUAAUGACAGAUCUUUUGAUUACUCAUAUUUUCAUCUGGACACCAUGCAAAGUGAAGCUACAGCUUUCAAUAAUGUGUUGCCUUGAAUUCACCUGGUGCCAUCGACGACACAGAGCUCAGUCAAGAAAGUCAGAAAAAAAAAGUUAAUGCCGAGUGAGAAUGAUAGUUUAACUUACUUCCAGUCUUUUGCUGUGAAUCAUUCAUUCAUACACAGCAUAGAAAGAACCUGCCUCUCCUACACAAGUGAAUCAACGAGGAUGAACAAGCAGCACUUUAGAGAUGUUCGAUCAGGUUGAAGUUCAGGCUCUGGCUGGGCCACUGCAUUGUCCAAUGGGCUCCCGAGUGGCACAGAGGUUUAAGGCACUGCAUCUCAGUGCUAGAGGUGUCACUACAGACACCCUGGUUCAAAUCCAGUCUGUAUCACAACCGGUCGUGAUUGGGAGUCCCAUAGUGUGGCGCACAUUUGACCCAGCAUUGUACGGGUUUUGCCGGUGUAGGCCGU
rnacentral:lncRNA from 1 species